CAUACCUAUCGAUCCCCUCGACGACACAGAGCCGUCGUCCUCUCGUGCGAUCCGCUGCCGCCACCUCCGAUCCGCUCCUCCUCUCCCGAGGAUACGCAGCCGCAUCCGUCGACGCCGAUCCGGGCAGACGCGGCCGUCGUGGAUCACGAGGAUCCGGAUGAUGGGGCGGCAGAGAUGGCCACGGAUCUGUUACGGCGACGACGGCGCUAGAUCCACACCCGCAGCAUCAGGAUGGAGGCCGGCGACGAACCCUAGCCUAGCCGUCAGCAUCGGGAUCCAACCCCUGCUCUCGGUGCUGGGGCAAGGCAUAUGGGGGUGUUUGCUGCCGCGGUGGACCUCGACGCCGGCGACAUCUGCAGCAUCUCCCUCCCGUCGGGCUGCAGGACCAGUACGCCCAAGGUACGCCUCCUCCUCCUUCCUUUCCCCUCCCUACCAAGACUCCAGCUUGCUGAUGUGUCCAUUAGUGGCGAAUAAUCCAUCAUGGAUUAGAUUAUUUCCUACGGCAGCUUGAACUGGCCUGCAUGUUUGGUUGAGCAUAUAUACGCAGUGUGAUUAAAUCUCACUAGCAGUCUACACAACACUUGAUGGGAGUUUGAAAAUAACAGUCCAUAAUAAAGGGCCGUGGUGUCUACUAUGCUUUUCAGAAAGGUGAGUGCACUUGUGAAGCUUCCUGUAGAGUUUCACAUGAUGAGUAGGUAAAUGUGCUGCUUGUGCAUUUUCCAAGUAGUUAUAUAGGAGAGCACACAAGCAACAGACUACAUAGCUUGUGCUAAUUUCCAUGAUAAGUUUUAUCGCAUAUGAACAAGUUAUAUUGCCAGUUAAGUUAUUAAUAGAAAUUGAGUUGCUUAUCAUUGAGUAAAAGACAUUCCUUUAGAGUAUUUACAGUUUUAUACUAAUACUUUAUCAAGGUGAUAUGCUGAAGAUUUGUGAUUAUCACAGUAUGGCCUUUACAUUGCUUCUGUAUGAUCUGAACCUGUUGAGCUCAUCACAAAUACCAUAAAAAUUGGCUCUAUCCCUGAUGUCCAAUAAAAAAGGGGAACUAUAGCCUCAGAUCGAAAAAGUUUCUUUUCCUUUGUGAUUUUGCAGCGGGACUUGCUUAUGGAGACGUUCGCUCUGGGUCAAAGCUUAAGAGUAAUGAUGCUUUUGACCAUUUAAUUAGUGUUUAGGGGGAGGAUUUCCACAGUAACCCUGGGCUGGUUAACCUAUUUGGAAUAGAAUUCCCUGAUUUGAAUAUCAAGCAUUCACAACUUCAGAAUACAUUGUCUCGAGGCCGGAUCAAGCGCAUCGCCGAUGCCACGAUCGCCGAUGCGCCGUGCUGCUCCUCUCAUGUGUGCCCUCGACGCUGACGCCGUCCUAUUUUCCGCAGCCACCGCCGUCGGGCUCCGCGUCCACGCGCCCCUUCAAACCUACUGGAUGCAAUCUCGCAUUGCGCUGUCGUCCGCACUGUCUGGCACCACCUAUGGACACAGAACGGCGGAUCAAGGUUUAAUGACUUUGAUCAGGCAAGAUACAUUCUGCCCGCUCAUCUCCCCGUGUUGCCGUUGGCUCCUGGACUGUGUCAUGGCCACACUGAAGACGGGACACUUGUGGUUAUCUUCAUGUGUCAUUGGUGGUCAGAGAAACCAAACAAAGCUGGAGUGAAAGGUCUAGGAGUUUCAAUACAGAACAAAGGGUCUACGAGUUUCAAUACAUUGUUGAAAAACUAUGCCAAACAUUAAGGGCAGCAUCGACACCGGCCUCGAUCAGUGUCGGGGCAAUGGUGAACCAAUGAAGAAGCUUAAGGCGGCUCAGGUAGGGUGGCACACGAUAUUAACAUCAGCCACGACCAGCGUCGGAGGAUGGGUCAUUGGGACGGAAGGAGGAAGACAAAGAGGAGGAAGAAGACGAUGAUCACCAAAUUUUACCACCGAUAAAAACAUGCGACCGAUGCAUAGUUGCUCUCAUAGUAUCUACUAAAGAAAUUGAUAAAAGAUGAUAUAUAUUCGUAGGACUUCACUCAUGUCACUUAGUCACUGGUUUGAUUUAUUUUCCUGUAUUUUGCCCAGGCAACACACGGGCAUUGUACUAGCAACUGGCUCCGGGCCCAGCCUACAUUAGUGGGUGUGUUAUGUAUUUGCAAGGUUGUGUCCAGUAUAAGACUUAAUUCCUUGUAACCAUAAAUGUGAGCUAGGAAGAAUAAAAUUUGUGCUCUAUUGAACUUACUGUAGAGCGGAGCAAGACGAUCGAAGAGAGGGAGGGAUUACAAAUAUUUCAUUCAUGGCAGAGUUAGAAGUAGAACAAGCAAUGUAGAUGGACAAUUAUGCUUUCUUAAGAGUAUAUA